rnacentral:lncRNA from 1 species
GAAGUGAGGUUAUUAAGGCACUUUGGAAUGAUUCCUGAGAGAUUGUUUAGAGAUAGGUCCAAGAUCAGAAUAUUUGAUAGGUGACAAAGAUUUGGCGGUAUGCUUCCACUGAAUCCAUUAGAUUGUAGGGAAAGGAUUGCAAGAGAUGGCAUGCUUUCUCCUAUCCAGCUUGGUAUUUCUCCUCUCAACUUAUUUGAGCUCAGGUCUAAAAAUACUAGAGAACUACAAUUCCUCAAAGACAAAGGUAAUUCUCCAACAAAGCUAUUAUUGUGCAAACUCAAUGUUUGAAGACUGAGCAUUGAUCCAAUGGAGAUGGGAAUUUUACCUGAAAAGUUGUUGUUGGCCAAGUUCAGAACACCUAGUUUUGUGAAAUUCAUUAAACAAUCAGGAAUCCAUCCCGUCAACAUGUUAUUUGAGAGGUCAAGGAGACCAAAGAUAUCACUACCAAUAUUGCAUGGAAAAGUAGCUGGACCUGAAAACUUAUUGUUAGAUAGAUACAAGUCUAAUAAGGUAUCUGAUGAAAAAAAUGGUAUUGGACCCUCAAACUGGUUGAAACUCAAAUCUAUGUUGUGGAGAUCGGAAUAUUUUGAUGAAAAAUCUGGCAAAAUUCCACUCAUCUUGUUGCGAGAAAGGUCUAAGGAUUCCAAGUUGGAAUUGGACAAGUUCCAAAACCAAUUAGGGAUUGUAUCUGAAAUUCCAGUGUUCGAGAUAUCUAGAUUCACGAAAUUAUUUUGAUUUCGAAGCCAUUGAGGAAAAGAAGGACCCAAAUUACAAGACGAAAGAGAUAUGUCAUGUAAUUGAAAAGUGGGAGCCCAAUUAGACUCAAAUUUCAAAGCUAGAGAGUUAUUAGUUAAAUUCAAUACCGUUAAUUUGGAGAGAUUUGAGAAGUGAGCUUCAGACAUCACACCUUGUAGAGAAUUCCCUCCAACAUGCAAUAUCUCGAGCUGAAAUAGGCUUCCAAUACUUUCAGAAACAUUCCCAUCUAAUCGGUUGUUAUUGAUCCCCAACUCUCUCAAUGAUGAAAGCAUCGCAACAUUCGUAAGUGAUCCAGUGAGUUGGUUGUCAUUCAAGUACAACAAAACAAGUUCAGAACGUUGACUAAAUUGUUCUGGUAAAGAUCCAUUCAGUUGAUUCCAAGAGAGAUCCAGCUCUGUCAUGGAAGUGAAUCUUGUGAUGUCAGGCAAUGAACCAUGAAGUUGAUUUCUGUCUAGUUGUAGAAUCUUUAGUGAGUUCUCAACGCAUCCAAACAACUGAGACAACUCUCCAGCAAGAUUGUUGUAACGUAUAUACAGUUUAUUUAAACUGCACAUACGCCCAAACAAACUCAAAUCACCUUGUAAUUGGUUGAAGGAUAGCUCAAGAGUCCUAAGAGAAGUCAUGUUUGUGAAAGCAUCUGGAAUUGAUCCUUGUAAUUGGUUUAAGGAUAUAUCAAGAGUCCUAAGAGAAGUCAUGUUUGUGAAAGCAUCUGGAAUUAAUCCUUGUAAUUGGUUUAAGGAUAGAUCAAGAGUCCUAAGAGAAGUCAUGUUUGUGAAAGCAUCUGGAAUUGAUCCUUGUAAUUGGUUACAUGAGAGGUCAAGAUCAACAAGGCUGUUACCGAAGUUGGCCAACCAAUAGAAUAUUGAAGAGGAAAGAUCGUUCAAGGAUAAAUCAACGAUAGCAAGAGACUUAGAGGAGUUUACAAGAGAAAGAGAUGGAGAACCGAUAAUUGAAAGGCUACAAGAUCCUAACAACAAUUCAUGUAAGCGAGGGAGCCUGUUAGGCACUUGCAGCCAGUCAAUCGUCUGACUAAGGUUAUUGGAACUCAGGUCAAGAUACUCUAAAGAAGAAAGAUAAGAAAGCCAAUCAAGGUUUUCAGAACUAGUGAUAUCCCAGGAAGACAUAAGAUUAAGAUCAACAAGGUUGUUACUAAAGUUGGAUAACCAAUUAAAUGUUGAAGAAUCAAGAUAGUUGUAAGAGAGAUCAAUGACAGCUAGGGAUUUAGAAGAAUUUGUAGAAGAAAUAGAGGGAAGACUGUUAUUUGAAAGAUCACACUGACUUAACAGCAAGAUUUUUAAGAAAGGAAACUUGUUAACGGUUUGUAUCCAGUCAAUGGCUUGACUAAGACUGUUUCCACUCAAAUCAAGAUACUCAAGAGAAAAAAGGCUGGAGAGGAAGUCAAAACUUGUAAAAUUAACAUCAUCAUUAUAACUGAGAUCUAAAUAUUGUAAUCUUGAAAGAUUCCGAAGCUGAUUUGAAAGAGUUCCAUCAACACCAAUGGAAGAGAGAUCCAGGUAUCUUAGUUCUUUUAGAAAACCAAUGAAAUAUGGAAAAGAAUUCCCUUUAAAAUUGAUUCCAUUUAGAUUCAGGUAACUCAAAUGUUGCAACUCCACUAAUGAAUUACUGAUCUUACCACUUAAAUAUGACCAGUACUUCUCUUGGUGAAGAUCAAGAUGAGUAACAUGACCAGUACGAUUGUUGCAUCCAACUCCUCUCCAUUUGCAGCAAUCCCUCUUCUCUUCUUCACUUCCCCAGGUUGAAAGAAAACCAGAGUCAUCAAUAAGGCCAUCUUUAAACUUGAGAAGGGCUUGUCUCUCCCUCUCUAUGCACCCGAAAGUUGCCCCUUUCACUCCAGAAAUGAACCCAGGUGCAAGUUUCAUGAGCAACAGAAGCACAAUAAGCACAUAAAGAAGAUGAAACGACUUGUCGUGCUUUAUCAGCAGCAUGAUCACAAAAAAAGAUAAUAUUGAAGUGGGUAUGGAAGUAAUAGUUGAGAGCAAUGAGAAUUUGGUGGGUAAUUUAACUUUGAAUAUCCAUUCACUUCACCACUUCCCUAUAUAUAAUAUUAAAAACACUACAAGAAAAUUUAAAAUUAAGUCAUUAAUUAUAUAAGUCAAGGUAGAUGGAUAUAAUUUCUCUUAAAAAAAAUUAUUUUAUAAUACUUAAAGUGUAACUAAUAAUACUUCCAUAAACAUAAAGGAAUGAGAGAUAAUAAAAAAAAAUUAAACUUUUUUUUGUUAUCUCUCUCUCUCUUGUCGUAUCUCUCGUGUAUUACAAGUUGUGGUAUAAUUUAAACAUCAUAGCAGAAAAAAAAAUUAAAAAAAAAAAAGAUUUAUUGACCAAAGCAGAGAAAGGAUUAAAAACUUGAGGGAGCUAGAAUGAAAAAAUGGUCAUGGAUAUUGAUUUGACUGUUGAUGAUGCUGAUUUGAGAUAGUCAUAAUGAUGGUGAUUUAAAAUACAUUAAAAUAAGUUUUUUUAAAAAGAAAAAUGCCUUAGCUUCCUAUUCAUUUCCAUUGACAUUUAAGAAGAUUUGCACUUUCACGUGAAAUUAUUAUUUUAAUAUAUUUUUUAAUAAAACAUAAUUUCCAAUUUACUACUAAACAUCAUUUAAUUAUGCAUGCCUCUCAUGCUUUUGGACAAAAACUCUUCAUGAGAUGUAUAUGCAAAAACUAUUUACUGUUUCUCUAAAUUUCUUCCGACAAUUACUUGUGCGUGUCUCUUAGUUCUAGAAAAAGAUUUCCAAGUUAUCAGUGUGUUAAAAAAAAUGUCUUCCUGAAUGGAAAUUAUUGUCUGGGCAGACCUGCACUUGGAGAGGGAUCUUGGGAAGGCCAUGGAGAUUGCUUCAAAGUUUGUCAAAGAGAGGGUGGCGAAUAAGAAAGUGACAAGUGAUUCGAGAAAGGAUUUCUUAGAUGUUCUGCUUGAGUUCAGAGGCAGUGGAAAAGAUGCGCCUCAUAAACUUUCAGAACGGCACCUCAACAUUUUUACACUGGUAAUUCUCUAGUUUUACCAUAACUUCCAUUUAUUUUCUUUGUAGAUGAAGUUGGAUAAACACUAUAAGAAAAUUUAAAAUUAAGUCAUUAAUUGUAUAAGCCAAGGUCGAUGGAUAUAAUUUCUUUUAUUUUUUAUUAUUUUAUAAUACUUAAAGUGUAACUAAUAAUACUUCCAUAAACACAAAGGAAAGAGAGAUAAUCAAAAACAUGGUUCAGAUGCCUUAUUUAAUUUAAUAUGUUGUUUCCAUAAAUAUAUAUAUAUAUAUAUAUAUAUAUAUAUAUAUAUAUAUAUAUAUAUGGAUAUAUUUUUUUUUUGAGUUUCAAAAGUAUUUUUAAAAACAUAUUUUUUUAUUUUAAAUUAUUUUUUUUUCUUUCAAAAUAUUUUAAUAUGUUAAUGUUAAAAUUAAUUUUAAAAAUAAAAAAUAUUAUUUUAAUAUAUUUUUAAAUAAAAAUACAUUAAAUAAAUAAAUAAAAAAAACUCAACAACACUGCCAAACUUUGUGCUCCAUACUUUUGGGCAAAGACUUUUCAAUUUUUGGUGUAUUUAAGAAGAUGGCACGUGGCCUUAAUUUUUUUUUAUUUGGAUAUAUUUGUUUUUGUCUUUUAUAAGUAUUUUUAAAGAAAUUAAAUUUUUUUUUGCUUUAAAUUUAUUUUUUUUUCUUUGUGCUUUUAGAUUAUUUUAAUAUACUAAUUUCAAAAAUAAUUUUAAAAACAUAAAAAAAAAAAAAUUAAUAUAUUUUUAAAUAAAAAAUAUUUUAAAAAAUAAUUAUGUGUGGCCCAUACUUUUGGGCAUAGACUUUUCAGGUCUUCAGUGUGAUUAAAUAGAUGUCAUGUGGAAAAAACCAAAAAACAUAUACUGCUUCCCUAAUUUUUUUUAUUUUAAUAUAUUUGUUUUUGUGUUUUAAAAGUAUUUUAAAAAUAAUUAAAUUUGUUUUUUUUCUUUAAAUUAAUUUUUUAUUUGUGCUUUUAGAUUAUUUUAAUGUACCAAUAUUAAAAAUAAUUUUUAAAAAAUUAAAAAAAUAUUAUUUUAACACUUUUCUAAACAAAAAAAUAUUUUAACAAAUAAUCUAUACCACAUUAUUAAACAUCCUGGAAUUGCGCAUGUCUCAUACUUUUGGGCAAAGACUUUUCAAGUCUUCAAUGGGUUUAAGAAGAUGUCAUGUGAAAAAAGCAAAAUUCAUUUACUAUUUUUUUUAUUUGGAUAUUUUUAUUUUUAUGUUUUAAAAAUAUUUUUUAAAAAAUUUUAAAAACUUUCCUUGCUUUAAAUUAAUUUUUUUUCUUUAUGCUUUUAGAUCAUUUUAAUGUACUAAUAUUAAAAAUAAUUUUUAAAAAAAUAUAUAUUAUUUUAAUACAUUUCUAUAUAAAAAAAUAUUUUAAAAUAUAAUUUUUACUAUAUUAUUAAACAUCCUAGAAGGAAUUGUGCGUGACCUAUACUUUUGGAUAAAGGCUUUUCAAGUCUUCUGUGUGGUUAAGAAAAUGCCUUGUGGAAUAAAUAAUUUCAAUGGUUGAGAUGCCUUAUUUAUUUAACUAGUGGUCUAUAGCCUUAACCUCAGCAAAAACUAUUUACUGUUUUUUCUAAAUUUCUUCUUUAUUUUGAUAUAUUUGUUUUUGUGUUACUUCUGCGUGCCCCUUGCUUCUGGAAAAAGACUUCCAAGUCAUUAAUAUAUUUUUAAAAAAUGUCUUCCUGAAAGAAAUUAUUAAGAGCUUCAAGUCUUCGUCAAAGUCAUCAAUAACCCACACGUUUUCCCUUUUCUUUAUUUGAUAGACAUUCUCUCCCGCAUCAAGUACUUAUGGUCUGGAGAGAGACAUUAUAGCAAGUUCAAAAUUAUUAUUUUUUCUUAUUUUUAUUUCUGUUUAAUUUAAAAAUAUAUUUUAAUUUUUUCUAUUUAAUUAGUUUAUAAAUUAUUUAGUUUAUACACGUCUUCUAACCUUGUAGGCAAAAACCAUUUAUUAUUUCUCUAAAUUUCCUUGGACAUUUGCUAUACUGGGUGCCCAUUAUUUGUUAGCAAAGACUUUUCAAGUCAUUAGUGUUUAAGGAGAUAUCACUUUGAAAAUUUUAUUUCAAUGGUUUAGAUACUUUAUAUUUAUCUUAUUAUGUUGUGCAUAAAAAAAAUUUAUUUCAAUAUAUUUAUUUGAGUUUCAAAAAUAUUUUUUAUAAAAAUUAAAAUUAUCAGUGGUCUCUCCCCCAACAGUUUGGUGUGCAAUAUCUCCAUGGGAAAUGUUCAUAAAAUUAAGUCAAAGUUGUUGGAUAAAAUUAGAUGGAUAUAUGUAAGAAAGUUUUCACUUAAUUUCUUUUUAAUUCUCACUCUUCUGUCUUUAUUAUUUGUGUAUAUCUCUCAUAUAUUACAAGUAAUGGUAUAAUUCAAACAUCAUAGCAGGAAAAAAAAAGAUUUAUUGACCAAAGCAGAAAGGAUUAAAAACUCGAGGGAGCUAGACUGAAAAAAUGAUCAUGGAUAUUGAUUCGAGUGUUGAUGAAAAGUAGAAGAUGCUACCGCGCUCUACAAGUCUCCUUUAGCACAUUAGUAAUUUUAGGAGAAAAGAAAACAUCUGGACAAAGUGAUGGUGUUCUUCAUCCAGCAUGUCGGCUUCAUAAGAGAUUGGUGAAGGAAAUCAAUGGAUUGAGAUUUGAUUGACAUUGAAAGGUUCAAUUGCAAGAAUGAGAUGAGAGAGGCUAAAGGAAAAUGAAAAAUUGGGAUGAGCUUUUGGGAUAAACAGAAAUUCUUUAUUAUUAUUAUUAUCUGUUUAAGACAACAGGUUAAGAUAUGACACGUGAAAAAAAAUAAUUUUAAUGGUUCAGAUGUCUUAUUUAUCUUAUUAUGUGUUCUAUAACCUUAACCUAUAGGCAAAAACCAUCUAUUGUCUUCCUAAAAAAAAAUUAAAUUUUUUUUUUAUUUCAAAUUAAUUUUUUUAAUUUUUCUUUGAUGCUUCUGUGUUAAUAUCAAAACUACUAAUCACCCUUUAAUUUCAAGAUCAUUAUGUCUAAGAAGAUGCCUCAGCUUCCUAGUCAUUUCCAUUUUCAGGGGGUAUAAAUGUUUCCGGAUCUUUUCAAAACAUUACAAGUUUCAAGACAGAGAGUAUGUACAACUACACGUUUGUAGCAAGAAGAAAUGAAAUCUCCUGAGUCCAAACCCAAUUCUUAUCGGUCAUAUGGGUCUAACACCCCAUUCUUUUAACGGCCUUGAUAAAAUCUCUAUUUAUAGGGAUAAGAGUCAUUUUUUAUACGUCUUUAAAAAAAAAAAAUGAUAUUCAGAUUUUAAAAUUAAAUAUGAGUUACGUCUACUUUUAACAAUUUUGAUGAAAUUUUCUUUUUUAAGCGGAGGGUGUGGUCACUCUUGUCCAUACUUUUAAAAUCCGGACCGGUCUGGCGGGUCGAUACGGGACCCAGUCAAACCCGCGUGAAACCCGGUCUAUUUUUUAUAUAUAUUAGCAGCCAUUAAACAAUUUUGUUUUGGAUUUUUAAAAGGCCAAAACGCUGAAGAAAAAUAAAAUAUAAUUGGGGACAGAUGAAAACCUAAUUAAUAAAAGACAAAAAUUAAUUUGAAUUAACGAAAUAAAAAUUGAGGAGCAGAAGACAUCUUGACUCUUGAUCAUUGUUGUUUAUUUGCCAACAAGGUUUGAAUCUUCUUCUUUCACUCUCUUUUCUUUAUUCUUGACCCUUUUUUGAGUGAUAAUUAUUGAAACAAAGGUUUGAAAUUUGAUCAUAGAAGCGUGUGGAUGGAAAACAGGUGGUCAAAAUGGACAACUAAUCAAGGGCUCAAAAGCUUCCGCAUCUUAGGUUUUAUCCUUCAUCACAAUCACGAGAGUCUGGUUUCAGCAAGAGGUCCCAACUUCUGGUCCACCCCAUGAGCUUUGCCAACCAAGCACGUAUAGCUUCACAUGAUGCACCAUAGGCUCCUUGCCAUGAGCAGAUAAGUAACAAAUGAAAAUGCCCUUUCCACCUCUCUCUGAAUAUAUUUGAUCACAGUUGCCAUAAUUAUUUCUCCAUCGGUUAAUGGCAAUGGCAAUCGAUGAUGACAACAAACAAAGAAACUGCAGGAAAAUAAUGGUGUUAAGCUUAUUGGUCAGAGAAAUUGUAUAAUUUUUUCAGAUUUUAUUUUGGGUUAACCCGGGUUAACCCAUCUGACCCGUGACCCGCUCACUUGACCGGGUCAGAUUUUAAAACUAUACUCUUGUCACUUUUGAUGGUCUUCUAAGAUCUCAUCAAGUUCAUCUAGUUUAUAUCUUUUCUAUGGUAAUUGGUAUGUCGGAAACAGAGCUUCAGUUUGUCCUCAGCUACUCUUUCUUUCUCUCUCCUUUUCUUCUCUCUCCCCUCUGAGCAACGCCAGCUUUGCUUUGGAGAGAAAAUGUGCAGAAUAGGGCAGGGAAUGGAAUAAAAUGAUGCAUGGUGUGGGUGAGGUGUUUUUUCUGUUUCAGUUUCUAUUUCACACUGAUGUUUUUUUUAUACACGCACCAUCAAUAGGCAGUUCCGGCCGUGAACAAAAAGAAUAAAAUGCAAAUCUCAGGAGGUUAGCUUUACUUUAAAUUAAUUUUUUUUUAGUAUUUUUAGAUUAUUUUAAUGUAUUAAUAUCAAAAAUAAUUUUUAAAAAAUAAAAAAAUAUAUUUUAGUUUUUUCUUUGUGUUUUUAUAUCAUUUUAAUGUAUCAAUAUCAAAAAUAAUUUUUUAAAAAAUUAAAAAUAUUAUUUUAAUAUAUUUCUAAAUAAAAAAAUAUAUGAUCUCUACCACACUAUUAAAUAUCAUGGAAUUGUGCAUGCCCCAUACUUUUGGGCAAAGACUUUUCAAGUCUUCAAUGUGUUUAAGAAGAUGUCAUAUGCAAAAAACCAAAAACCAAAAAUCAUUUACUAUUUUUUUAAUUUUUUUAUUCGGAUAUAUUUGUUUUUCUGUUUUAAAAGUAUUUUUUAAAAAAAAUAAAAUGUGUUCUUUGCUUUAAAUUAGUUUUUUCUUUGUGCUUUUAGAUCAUUUUAAUGUACCAAUAUCAAAAAUAAUUUUUAAAAAAAUUAAAAAUAUUAUGUUAAAAUAUUUCUAAAUAAAAAAAUAUUUUAACAAAUAAUCUACACCACAUUAUUAAAUAUCAUGGAAUUGUAUGUGCCCCAUACUUUUGGGCAAGACUUUUCAAGUCUUCAAUGUGUUUAAGAAGAUGUCAUGUGGAAAACACAAAAAACCAAAAACCAAAAACCAUUUACUAUUUUUUUAAUUUUUUUAUUUGGAUAUAUUUAUUUUUGUGUUUUAAAAGUAUUUAAAAAAAACAUUUCUUUGCUUUAAAUUAGUUUUUUCUUUGUGGUUUUAGAUCAUUUUAAAGUACCAAUAUCAAAAAUAUUUUUUUUAAAAUUAAAAAUAUUAUUUUAAUAUAUUUCUAAAUAAAAAUAAAUAUUUUAACAAAUAAUCUCUACCACACUAUUAAAUAUCAUGGAAUUGUGUGUGCCCCAUAUUUUUGAGCAAAGACUUUUCAAGUCUUCAAUGUGUUUAAGAAGAUGUCAUAUGGAAAAAACUAAAAACCAAAAACCAUUUACUAUUUUUAAAAUUGUUUAUUUGGAUAUAUUUGUUUUUGUGUUUUAAAAGUAUUUUAAAAAAAAUUAAAUUUUGUUUCUUUACUUUAAAUUAGUUUUUUCUUUGUGUUUUUAGAUCAUUUUAAUGUACCAAUAUAAAAAAAAAAGGUUUUUAAAAAAUAAAAAAAUUAUUUAAAUAUAUUUCUAUAAAAAAAAAUAUUUUAACAAAUAAUCUUUGCCACACUAUUAAAUAUCAUCGAAUUGUGCGUGCCCAAUACUUUUAGGCAAAGACAUUUCAAGUAUUCAAUUUGUUUAAAAAGAUGUCAUAUGGAAAAAACUAAAAACCAAAAACCAUUUACUAUUUUAAAAAUUAUUUAUUUGGAUAUAUUUGUUUUUGAGUUUUAAAAGUAUUUUUUAAAAAAUUAAAAUUUGUAGCUUUGCUUUAAAUUAGUUUUUUCUUUGUGCUUUUAGAUCAUUUUAAUGUACCAAUAUCAAAAAUAAUUUUUAAAAAAAUAAAAAUAUUAUUUAAUUAUAUUUCUAAAUAAAAAAAUAUUUUAACAAAUAAUGUCUACCACACCAUUAAAUAUCAUGGAAUUGUGCGUGCCCAAUACUUUUGGGUUAAGAACAUGUCAUGGGGAAAAAACCAAAAACCAUUUACUAUUUUUUUAAUUUGGAUAUAUUUGUUUUUUUGUUUUAAAAGUAUUUUUAAAAAAAUUAAAUUUUGUUUCUUUGCUUUAAAUUAGUUUUUUCUUUUUGCUUUUAGAUCAUUUUAAUGUACCAAUAUCAAAAAUAAUUUUAAAAAAAUAAAAAAAUUAUUUAAAUAUAUUUCUAAAUAAAAAAAAAUUUUAACAAAUAAUAUCUACAACACUAUUAAAUAUAAUGGAAUUGUGCAUGCCCCAUACUUUUGGGCAAAGACUUUUCAAGUCUUCAAUUGUGUUUAAGAAGAUGUCAUGUGGAAAAAACAAAAAACCAAAAAUCAUUUCCUAUUUUUUUAAUUUGGAUAUAUUUGUUUUUGUGUUGUAAAAGUAUUUAAAAAAAAAAUUAAUUUUUUUUUUGCUCGAAAUUAGUUUUUGUUUUGUGCUUUUAGAUUAUUUUAAUGUACCAAAAUCAAAAAUAAUUUUUUUUAAAUUAAAAAUAUUAUUUGAAAAUAUUUCUAAAUAAAAAAAAAAUUUAAACAAAUAAUCUCAACCACACUAUUAAAUAUCAUGGAAUUGUGCGUGCCCCGUACAUUUGGGCAAAGACUUUUCAAGACUUCAAUGGUUUUAAGAAAAUAUCAUGUGGAAAAAACCAAAAACCAUUUACAAUUUUUUUAAUUGUUUUAUUUGGAUAUAUUUGUUUUUGUGUUUUAAAAGUAUUUUAAAAAAAAUUAAUUUUUUUUCUUUGCUUUAAAUUAAUUUUUUCUUUGUGCUUUUAGAUUAUUUUAAUGUACCAAUAACAAAAAUAUUUUUUUUAAAAAAAAAAAAUUCUUUAAAUAUAUUUCUAAAUAAAAUUUUUUUUUUUACAAAUAAUCUGUACCACACUAUUAAAUAUCAUGGAAUUGUGUGUGCCCCAUACUUUCGGGCAAAGACUUUUCAAGUCUUGAAUGUGUCUAAGAAGAUGUCAUGUGGAAACAACUAAAAAUCAAAAACCAUUUACUAUUUUUAAGUUUUUUUUAUUUGGAUAUAUUUUUUUUUGUGUUUUAAAAGUAUUUUAAAAAAUAUUAAUUUUUUUUUCUUUGCUUGAAAUUAGUUUUUUCUUUGUGCUUUUAGAUUAUUUUAAUGUACCAAAAUCAAAAAUAAUUUUUUUAAAAUUAAAAAUAUUAUUUUAAUAUAUUUCCAAAUAAAACAAUAUUUUAACAAAUAAUCUCUACCACACUAUUAAAUAUCAUGGAAUUGUGUGUGCCCCAAACAUUUGGGCAAAGACGUUUCAAGUCUUCAAUGUUUUUAAGAAGAUGUCAUGUGGAAAAAACCAAAAACCAUUUACUAUUUUUUUAAUUUUUUUAUUUGGAUAUAUUUGUUUUUCUGUUUUAAAAGUAUUUUAAAAAAUAUUAAUUUUUUUUCUUUGCUUGAAAUUAGUUUUUUCUUUGUGCUUUUAGAUUAUUUUAAUGUACCAAUAUCAAAAAUAAUUUUCUUAAAAUUAAAAAUAAUAUUUAAUAUAUUUUUAAAUAAAAAAAAUAUUUUAACAAAUAAUCUGUACCACACUAUUAAAUAUCAUGGAAUUGUGCGUGCCCCAUACAUUUGGGUAAAGACUUUUCAAGUCUUCAAUGUUCUUAAGAAGAUGUCAUGUGGAAAAAAUUCAAAAACCAAAAUCUUUUACUAUUUUUUUUAAUUUUUUUAUUUAGAUAUAUUUGUUUUUGUGUUUUAAAAGUAUUUUUAAAAACAUUAAUUUUUUUUUCUUGAAAUUAGUUUUUUCUUUGUGCUUUUAGAUUAUUUUAAUGUUCCAAUAUCAAAGUAACGUUUUUAAAAAAUUAAAAAUAUUAUUUUAAUAUAUUUUUAAAUAAAAAAAUAUUUUUACAAAUAAUCUCUACCACACUAAUAAAUAUCAUGGAAUUGUGAGUGCCCAAUACUUUUGGGCAAAGACUUUUCAAGUCUUCAAUGUGUUUAAGAAGAUGUCAUGUGGAAAAAACCAAAAAUAAAAAAUAAAAAACUAUUUACUAUUUUUUUAAUAUGAUAUUUUUGUUUUUGUGUUUUAAAAGUAUUUUUAAAAAAAUUAAAAAAAAUUUCUUAGCUUUAAGUUAGUUUUUUCUUUGUGCUUUUAGAUCAUUUUAAUGUACCAAUAUCAAAAAUAAGUUUUUUUAAAAUUAAAAAUAUUAUUUUAAUAUAUUUCUAAAUAAAAAAUAUAUAUAAUCUCUACCACACAAUUAAAUAUCAUGGAAUUGUGCGUGCCCCAUACUUUUGGGCAAAGACUUUCCAAGUCUUCAAUGUGAUUUAGAAGAUGUCAUGUGGAAAAAACCAAAACCCAAAAACAAUUUACUAUUUUUUAAUUGUUUUAUUUGAAUAUAUUAGUUUUUCUCUUUUAAGAGUAUUUUAAAAAAAAUUUAAUUUUUUUUCUUUGCUUGAAAUUGGUUUUUUCUUUGUGCUUUUACAUUAUUUUAAUGUACCAAUAUAAAAAAUAAUGUUUUUUAAAUUAAAACUAUUAUUGUAAUAUAUUUCUAAAUAUAAAAAAUAUUUUAACAAAUAAUCUCUACCACACUAUUAAAUAUCAUGGAAUUGUGCGUGCCCCAUACGUUUGGGCAAAGACUUUUCAAGUCUUCAAUGUGUUUAAGAAGAUGUCAUGUGGAAAAAACCAAAAACCAAAAAUAAUUUACUAUUUUUUUAAUUGUUUUAUUUGAAUAUAUUUGUUUUUAUGUUUUAAGAGUAUUUUAAAAAAACUUAACUUUUUUUCUUUGCUUGAAAUUGGUUUUUCUUUGUGCUUUUAGAUUAUUUUAAUGUACCAAUAUCAAAAAUAAUUUUUUUAAAAUUAAAAAUAUUAUUGUAAUAUAUUUCUAAAUAUAAAAAAUAUUUUAACAAAUAAUCUCGACCACACUAUUAAACAUUAUGGAAUUGUGCGUGCCCCAUACUUUUGGGCAAAGACUUUUCAAGUUUUCAAUGUGUUUUAGAAGAUGUCAUGUGGAAAAAACCAAUAACCAAAAACAAUUUACUAUUUUUUAAUUGUUUUCUUUGAAUAUAUUUGUUUUUAUGUUUUGAGAGUAUUUUAAAAAAAAAAUAAAAUUAUUUGCUUGAAAUUGGUUUUUUCUUUGUGCUUUUAGAUUAUUUUAAUGUACCAAUAUCAAAAAUAAUUUUUUAAAAGAAUAAAAAAUUUAUUUAAAUAUAUUUCUAAAUAAAUGUUUUUUUUAUAAAUAAUCUCUACCACACUAUUAAAUAUCAUGGAAUUGUGUGUGCCCCAUACUUUUAGGCAAAGACUUUUUAAGUCUUGAAUGUGUCUAAGAGGAUGUCAUGUGGAAAUAACUAAAAAUCAAAAACCAUUUACUAUUUUUAAUUUUUUUUUUAUUUGGAUAUAUUUUUUUUGUGUUUUAAAAGUAUUUUAAAAAAAAUUAAUUUUUUUUCUUUGCUUGAAAUUAGUUUUUUCUUUGUGCUUUUAGAUUAUUUUAAUGUACCAAAAUCAAAAAUAAUUUGUUUUAAAUUAAAAAUAAAAUUUUAAUAUAUUUCCAAAUAAAAAAAAAAUUCAACAAAUAAUCUCUACCACACUAUUAAAUAUCAUGGAAUUGUGCGUACCCCAUACAUUUGGGCAAAGACGUUUCAAGUCUUCAAUGUUUUUAAGAAGAUGUCAUGCGGAAAAAACCAAAAACCAUUUACUAUUUUUUUAAUUUUUUAAUUUGGAUAUAUUUGUUUUUCUGUUUUAAAAGUAUAUUUAAAAAAAGAUUAAUUUUUUUUUCUUUGCUUGAAAUUAGUUUUUUCUUUGUGCUUUUAGAUUAUUUUAAUGUACCAAUAUCGAAAAUAAUUUUCUUAAAAUUAAAAAUAAUUUUUAAUGUAUUUCUAAAAAAACAAAUAUUUUAACAAAUAAUCUGUACCACACUAUUAAAUAUCUUGGAAUUGUGCGUGCCCCAUACAUUUGGGUAAAGACUUUUCAAGUCUUCAAUGUUCUUAAAAAGAUGUCAUGUGGAAAAAACCAAAAACCAAAAUCAAUUACUAUUUUUUUUAAUUUUUUAAUUUUGAUAUAUUUGUUUUUGUGUUUUAAAAGUAUUUUUAAAAACAUUAAUUUUUUUUUCUUGAAAUUUGUUUUUUCUUUGUGCUUUUAGAUUAUUUUAAUGUUCCAAUAUAAAAAAAACUUUUUUAAAAAAUUAAAAAUAUUAUUUUAAUAUAUUUCUAAAUAAAAAAAUAUUUUAACAAAUAAUCUCUACCACACUAUUAAAUAUCAUAGAAUUGUGCGUGCCCCAUACUUUUGGGCAAAGACUUUUCAAGUCUUGAAUGUGUCUAAAAAGAUGUCAUCCGGAAAAAACUAAAAACCAAAAACCAAAAACCAUUUACUAUUUUUAAAAAAUUUUAUUUGGAUAUAUUUGUUUUUUUAUUUUAAAAGUAUUUUUUAAAUAAAUUAAUUUUGUUUCGUUGCUUUAAAUUAGUUUUUUAUUUGUGCUUUUAGAUCAUUUUAAUGUACCAAUAUCAAAAAUAAUUUUUUUAAGAAUAAAAAAAUUAUUUAAUUUUAUUUCUAAAUAAUUUUUUUUUUUACAAAUAAUCUGUACCACACUAUUAAAUAUCAUGGAAUUGUGUGUGCCCCAUACUUUUGGGCAAAGACUUUUCAAGUCUUGAAUGUGUCUAAGAAUAUGUCAUGUGGAAAAAACAAAAAAUCAAAAACCAUUUACUAUUUUUAAGUUUUUUUUAUUUGGAUAUAUUUUUUUUGUGUUUUAAAAGUAUUUUAAAAAAUAUUAAUUUUUUUUUCUUUGCUUGAAAUUAGUUUUUUCUUUGUGCUUUUAGAUUAUUUUAAUGUACCAAAAUCAAAAAUAAUUUUUUUAAAAUUAAAAAUAUUAUUUUAAUAUAUUUCCAAAUAAAAAAAAUAUUUUAACAAAUAAUCUCUACCACACUAUUAAAUAUCAUGGAAUUGUGUGUGCCCCAUACAUUUGGGCAAAGACGUUUCAAGUCUUCAAUGUUUUUAAGAAGAUGUCAUGUGGAAAAAACCAAAAACCAUUUACUAUUUUUUUAAUUUUUUUAUUUGGAUAUAUUUGUUUUUCUGUUUUAAAAGUAUUUUAAAAAAUAUUAAUUUUUUUUCUUUGCUUGAAAUUAGUUUUUUCUUUGUGCUUUAGAUUAUUUUAUUGUACCAAUAUCAAAAAUAAUUUUUCUUAAAAUUAAAAUAAUAUUUAAUAUUUUUAAAUAAAAAAAUAUUUUAACAAAUAAUCUGUACCACACUAUUAAAUAUCAUGGAAUUGUGCGUGCCCCAUACAUUUGGGUAAAGACUUUUCAAGUCUUCAAUGUUCUUAACAAGAUGUCAUGUGGAAAAAAUUCAAAAACCAAAAUCUUUUACUAUUUUUUUUUAUGUUUUUAGGAUAUAUUUGUUUUUGUGUUUUAAAAGUAUUUUUAAAACAUUAAUUUGUUUUUCUUGAAAUUAGUUUUUUCUUUGUGCUUUUAGAUUAUUUUAAUGUUCCAAUAUCAAGUAACGUUUUUAAAAAAUUUAAAAUAUUAUUUUAAUAUAUUUUUAAAUUUAAAAAUAUUUUUACAAAUAAUCUCUACCACACUAAUAAAUAUCAUGGAAUUGUGAGUGCCCAAUACUUUUGGGCAAAGACUUUUCAAGUCUUCAAUGUGUUUAAGAAGAUGUCAUGUGGAAAAAACCAAAAAUCAAAAAUAAAAAACCAUUUACUAUUUUUUUAAUAUGAUAUUUUUGUUUUUGUGUUUUAAAAGUAUUUUAAAAAAAAUUAAAAAAAAUUUCUUAGCUUUAAGUUAGUUUUUUCUUUGUGCUUUUAGAUCAUUUUAAUGUACCAAUAUCAAAAAUAAGUUUUUUUAAAAUUAAAAAUAUUAUUUUAAUAUAUUUCUAAAUAAAACAAAUAUAUAAUCUCUACCACACAAUUAAAUAUCAUGGAAUUGUGCGUGCCCCAUACUUUUGGGCAAAGACUUUUUAAGUCUUGAAUGUGUCUAAGAGGAUGUCAUGUGGAAAUAACUAAAAAUCAAAAACCUUUUACUAUUUUUAAAUUUUUUUUUAUUUGGAUAUAUUUUUUUUUGUGUUUUAAAAGUAUUUUAAAAAAAUUUAAUUUUUUUUUCUUUGCUUGAAAUUAGUUUUUUCUUUGUGCUUUUAGAUUAUUUUAAUGUACCAAAAUCAAAAAUAAUUUUUUUAAAAUUAAAAAUAAUAUUUUAAUAUAUUUCCAAAUAAAAAAAAAUUUAACAAAUAAUCUCUACCACACUAUUAAAUAUCAUGGAAUUGUGCGUGCCCCAUACAUUUGGGCAAAGACGUUUCAAGUCUUCAAUGUUUUUAAGAAGAUGUCAUGUGGAAAAAACCAAAAACCAUUUACUAUUUUUUUAAUUUUUUAAUUUGGAUAUAUUUGUUUUUCUGUUUUAAAAGUAUUUUUAAAAAUAUUAAUUUGUUUGGUCACCUCAUGUCAUUUUCAAGCAUAGAGUCAUUUCUGUAAUCAAAACACUUUUAAUCUUUCGGAUUGAUUAACCUUUAUCGCAUGUUGGAGUUUGAUCAAAAUAUUUUGUCGGGAUAAAAUGCUAAACAUCUGUUGAUUUCAAAACAACAAAUAGACAAAAGCAAGGCAUGUUUCGUUGAAGGAUGAGAGGUGAUCCCAAAACAAAAUGCAAAAUUCCAAAACAAUAUGAUUGACUGUUCAUCACCAUUCUUGAAUCAGCUUUUCUGGCAAUAUUUGCGUUUUGUCAAGCACUUUCGAUCAACAUGUCAUUCUAAAAAUGUUCGGGGGGCAAUAUAGCCAAUGACACCCUCCUUCACUGACUCCAUUUGUCUCUUGCUCACCAACUUUCAAACUCAAUUCUUGAAAUUCUUGAAAUUGCUCCAUUGAAAUGGUUGAGGACCCCAUCAUGACAUCACAUCUCUUGUCUGGAUUAAACCACCCAGAAAAUGGUGGUUGCAUAGGAUUUGUCGGAGUCAAGCAAAAUUCUGUAAUCUGGCAGAUGCUGGUCGACAAACUUAAAUGGCAGAGGAAUGUCCCAUCUUGGCAAAGAUAUUUGAGCAAUUGAUGCUAAUUAAGGGCUCACACCGUCAAAGUCAUCUCCUGAUUCACCUCUCAUCAUUGUUCUAGAAUCCAUGGCAGAUCCUUCAAUCUUUCUUCUCUUCAUAGCUUGUUCAAUUCUUCGGCAAAUCCUCACAACAUUAUUUCAAUCUUCCAAUGUUGCUAUGGUUGGUUGAGGAUUGUUAGAAAACUUUCUAACAGCUUGGUAAUCUUGGCAGCGCCCAGAAACUUGUAGUAUCGCCACUACGACGUGUGGAAUCACACAUUGUCUCUAUUGGAAGAGCACCUGAUGAAUCUAAAACUCCUUUGUCCCCUCUUCGAUUUCUCACUGACAGUGCAGCAAACAAACACCUAUAGAGGAAGUCCUGCUCUGUUGAAGUUUCAGUAUUCUUCAUGUUUUUCAGUCUAGGCAUGUCUCUUUCUCUACUUUUGCGUUUUAAUACUGACACUGGAGGAAAAUCAUAGAUGACCUGAAACUACUGUAUUCCUUCUUGGACUUCCCACUUGCGGAUCCACAAACAGAUUCCUGCUGAGUGAGCUUGCUACGUUGAAGUUUGAUGUCUGCUCAUAUUUUUCAGACCAGGUCUGGCUCUUCAACCUACUAAGAGGUCUUCGUGCUGAAACUGAUGAGAGAAAUAUUUGUAGCAUAUGCAACUUAUAAAUCCCCUCUUGCUUCCCAAUUUGCAGAGCCAUAAAUUGAUUUUUGUAGAGAGAGCUCUGCCACAUUGAAGUUCAGUGUUCAAUCAUGGUUUUUCAGACCAUCUUGUGCUGCUGAACUGGAAUUGAGCUCGUAAUCGGGGUAACUUCAAAGCAGAUUAAUGCACCAUGUACAGGAGACUAGUGGUCGUUUGGUUCCAUUAAAUGAUGUGGAGGCGAUGAACACUUAACAAUGCAACUGGACAAGAAUCAGAGUUGUCAUUAGUUGAUGACUGAAGGCGUUGUUGCUGUUGUUCAUGAUGAAAAAGGAGAGAUACAGCUUCAAUUAGAUGUGAACAAGCAGUGUUCCCACAGAAAACUGUGCAGACAUUCUCUUUCCAUUUGAUGCUCAACACUUGUUCGAGCAGAUCUGAGUCUAGCUACUUCACAUUUAACGCUCUCCACCUUAAUAUGAUAAUGAGCCUCUAUCUGACACAUUUCUUCACCUCCAUCACGUGCAGCACAGCUUGUGUGGGGGACCUACCUUUCAGCCCGGUACAUGCAUGAUAAAUGUAUGAACAUGUAAUCUAUAUGAUGAACUCGCCCUUCGAGAGGUGACAAUAUGGUCGUAACUCUUGUAUGAUGGAACAAGAAUUGUGAUUUUUGCCCAAACUCUACAAUGAAAAUUUUCGGAGACGGCCAAUGUGUCACCCACAAGUCUUGAGUUCAAGAUGCUUCAAGAAGGGUUUGCCCUUAUGCAAAAACGAUAGCACAUACAACCUAAGGACAGGUUCUAUUCAUUAUGUGAACAUGGGUAGGUUUUCUAUCUGGUCUCAAAAGGGUCUCAUAUCUGCCCAGUGACGUUCUUCGUAAAGACAGUAUGGGGGCGUUGCAAGGAAUGGUUAAGGCACGUAUACCCACCAUUACCAAGCAGGCACUCAGAUAUGAGUUGGGUGUUUCACGCAUCUGAACCCUGACCAAUAGUCUUAGGGCAGAUCGCUAGUUCCCCACCUAACCUACAAGCUUGUGUGUGCUUUUCAAAAUAAAUACAGGUGAUGCAUGAGACAAUUCUAUAAAAUGCAUGGAAAAAAUAUUAACAAAAAGAUAAAAAUGCAAAAACUUAAACACAUCAAAUACACAAAGCUUAGUCCAAUAAUGUCAGAAACAAUACCUUCCCCAGUGGAGUCGCCAUUCUGUCGCACCCCAAAAAAAAUCAGCGCGCGGCAUCGGCUGGCGAUUUUUCGUCUCGUUGCGUUUGCUUGAAUUUGGUUCGUUGGAGUCGCCACCUAGUAAUUGAUUGCGGGCUACUAGGAAACCGGAUGUACUGGUCUUGUCAGAGAUUCGCGGGUAAGGGACUGGUUGUGGUUAGGGAAGGUAUUAGCACCCCUAACGCACCCUACCUGAGGUAAGCUGCUUCGCGAAUUUGAUGUGUUAAAGAAGUUUUAAUAAUUGUCUUUUCAUCGGAAAUUAGAAAUAUCACUUACGUAUAAGUUAAUAAUUCUUAACCGUGAUCCGAUCAAAAUAUUAAAUUCUUCUUUAAUAUAUUUGCACUUUCAUCCUAAAAAAUAAAUAAAUAAAAUAAAAAAUUCAUACAAAAAAUACAAACACACACAUACACUUUCACUGUAUUUCUUUUCUUUUCUUUUCUUUUCCCUUUUUUUUUGUUACAUCCAUAAUACAAAAUACAAAUACAAAUUCAAAACAAUAAAUAAAAAUUACAGUACAUAAUUUGAAAUUCACAAAAAAAAGUCCCUAAACUUCUAGAAAUUACAGGGAAGGACUUUCUGACGACGCAGCAACACUGGCGGCGCGUGGGUUCACGUGCCGCCGGAAAAAAACAGCAGCAGAGGGCUUGAUCGACUUCUUCUUCUCAGCCUCCCAACGCCGGCGACGACCUGCAAAGAACCCAAAAACAACACAGGCAAUUGAUUUUAAUUUGUUUGUUUCAUUUCUUAGAUCUGUUUUUUUUGUUUUGCAGGUCUGUUCUCUUCCUUUGCUGGUUGCAGAUCCGGUGAUGGUCGGCUGCGGGGCAGUUCUGGAGGUGGGUCUGUGGGAGUGUCGCUGGCUGGAGACGGCAGACGGGUCUGGCGGUGGCUGGCUUCGAGCCGUUGUUUUGGCCGCUGCUAUUGGUCGGAUGCAGAAGAUGAAGAGCUGGGGUUGUUGCCGACCGGAGGAGAUGACGAAGAGGAUGGUUCUGUCUUGGCUAUCGGCCGGCGAGGAAGAUCGCGGGUCUGCGGGGAGAAGCUGCCGUUGAGAUGGGUCGGGCAGGAGGCGGAGGAACGACUCUGUUGGAGGUGGAAGGUGGGCGUGAGCAGUCCUUAGUUCUCCUGGGAAAAUGGCGAUGGGAGGGGCUGCUGUGUUUGUAUUGGCUGAGAGGGAGGGGAGCGUGGAGGAGGCCGGUCAGUUGUCGUUUGAAGAGAAGGGUUGUCUUGGCUGCGGUUCUCUGUGAGGGGAGAAGAAUGGGAAGAGAGAUGACCGGCGAGAUGGGGCUACAGGGAACCAAAAUGAAAGCCACCGGAGAGGGGGGGCUGCUGCUUGGCCAGGAAAAAAAUGAACAGGGUAGGGGCGGCUGUGUUUGUGGGUUUUUUAGGGUUUAGGGUUUUUUGUAUUUUCUGAUGUUUUCCAAAUUCGCCCCCCCCAUUGUGUGAGUUAAAGACCAGUAUUUAUAGGCAAAAAUAUUGCCAAGUUUUUCAACUUGGUCCCUCAACUUCUUUCUUUUUGUAAAUUUUGAUUUUUCUUAUUUUUUUAUAUUUUUGAAAACGAGCAAUAUCAAUGUCGACUCAACGAGGAAAAUCAAUGUUUUUUUUUUUUUAAAUGACGCGUGAAAAGUCGAACGCGUUUGAAAUUUUUUUUUAAAAUUUAAAUUCUUUUUUUUUAGACGACGUUGAAAAUGCUAAAAGGAUGAAAAUAUAUUAAAAAAACAUAUUUUUUGGAUUUUCAUUGUUUUUCUCUAUUUUUGGAUUUUUUUGAAAAUAUAUCAAAAACAUGGGUCAAAAAUUGGGUAGUAACAGUGUUUAAGAAGAUGUCAUGUGGAAAAAACCAAAAACCAAAAACCAAAAACAAUUUACUAUUUUUUUAAUUGUUUUGUUUGAAUAUAUUUGUUUUUAUGUUUUAAGAGUAUUUUAAAAAAAAAUUAAUUUUUUUUUCUUGCUUGAAAUUGGUUUUUUCUUUGUACUUUUAGAUUAUUUUAAUGUACCAAUAUCAAAAAUAAUUGUUUUUAAAUUAAAAAUAUUAUUGUAAUAUAUUUUUAAAUAUAAAAAAUAUUUUAACAAAUAAUCUCUACCACACUAUUAAAUAUCAUGGAAUUGUGCGUGCCCCAUACUUUUGGGGAAAGACUUUUCAAGUCUUCAAUGUGUUUAAGAAGAUGUCAUGUGAAAAAAACCAAAAACCAAAAACCAUUUAUUAUUUUUUUAAUAUGAUAUUUUUGUUUUUGUGUUUUAAAAGUAUUUUAAAAAAAUUAAAAAAACUUUCUUAGCUUUAAAUUAGUUUUUUCAUUGUGCUUUUAGAUCAUUUUAAUGUACCAAUAUCAAAAAUAAGUUUUUUUAAAAUUAAAAAUAUUAUUUUAAUAUAUUUCUAAAUAAAAAAAUAUAUAAUCUCUACCAUACUAUUAAAUAUCAUGGAAUUGUGCAUGCCCCAUACUUUUGAACAAAGACUUUUCAAGUCUUCAAUGUGUUUAAGAAGAUGUCAUGUGGAAAAAAACCAAAAACCAAAAAGCAUUUACUAGUUUUUAAAUUUUUUUAUUUGGAUAUAUUUGUUUUUGUGUUUUAAAAGUAUUUUUUUAAAAAGUAUUUUUUUCUAUGCUUUAAAUUAUUUUUUUCUUUGUGCUUUUAGAUUAUUUUAAUGUACCAAUAUCAAAAUUAAUUUUUAAAAAUAAAAAAAUUAUUUAAAUAUAUUUCUAAAUAAAAAAAAAAUUAACAAAUAAUCUCUACCACACUAUUAAAUAUCAUGGAAUUGUGCGUGCCCCAUACUUUUGGGCAAAGACUUUUCAAGUCUUCAAUGUGUUUAAGAAGAUGUCAUGUGGAAAAAACCAAAAACCAAAAACAAUUUACUAUUUUUUUAAUUGUUUUGUUUGAAUAUAUUUGUUUUUAUGUUUUAAGAGUAUUUUAAAAAAAAUUAAUUUUUUUUCUUUGGUUGAAAUUGGUUUUUUCUUUGUGCUUUUAGAUUAUUUUAAUGUACCAAUAUCAAAAAUAAUUUUUUUUAAAUUAAAAAUAUUAUUGUAAUAUAUUUCUAAAUAUAAAAAAUAUUUUAACAAAUAAUCUCUACCACACUAUUAAAUAUCAUGGAAUUGUGGGUGCCCCAUACUUUUGGGCAAAGACUUUUCAAGUCUUUAAUGUGUUUUAGAAGGUGUAAUGUGGAAAAAACCAAAAACCAAAACCAAAAACAAUUUACUAUUUUUUAAUUGUUUUAUUUGAAUAUAUUUGUUUUUAUGUUUUAAGAGUAUUUUAAAAAAAAAUUAAUUUUUUUUCUUUGCUUGAAAUUGGUUUUUUCUUUGUGCUUUUAGAUUAUUUUAAUGUACCAAUAUCAAAAAUAAUUUUUUUAAAAAAUAAAAAAAUUAUUUAAAUAUAUUUCUAAAUAAAUUUUUUUUUUAACAAAUAAUCUCUACCACACUAUUAAAUAUCAUAGAAUUGUGCGUGCCCCAUACUUUUGGGCAAAGACUUUUCAAGUCUUCAAUGUGUUUAAGAAGAUGUCAUCUGGAAAAAACCAAAAACCAAAAACCAUUUACUAUUUUUUUAAUAUGAUAUUUUUGUUUUUGUGUUUUAAAAAUAUUUGAAAAAAAAUUAAAAAAAAUUUCUUAGCUUUAAAUUAGUUUUUUCUUUGUGCUUUUAGAUCAUUUUAAUGUAUCAAUAUCAAAAAUAAGUUUUUUUUAAAAUUAAAAAUAUUAUUUUAAUAUAUUUCUAAAUAAACAAAUAUAUAAUCUCUACCACACUAUUAAAUAUCAUGGAAUUGUGCAUGCCCCAUACUUUUGAACAAAGACUUUUCAAGUCUUCAAUGUGUUUAAGAAGAUGUCACGUGGAAAAAACCAAAAACCAAAAAGCAUUUACUAGUUUUUUAAUUUUUUAAUUUGGAUAUAUUUGUUUUUGUGUUUUAAAAGUAUUUUUAAAAAAAAUAUUUUUUUUCUUUGCUUUAAAUUAGUUUUUUCUUUGUGCUUUUAGAUUAUUUUAAUGUACCAAUAUCAAAAAUAAUUUUUUAAAAAAAUAAAAAAAUUAUUUUAAUGUACCACACUAUUAAAUAUCAUGGAAUUGUGCGUGCCCCAUACUUUUGGGCAAAGACUUUUCAAGUCUUCAAUGUGUUUAAGAAGAUGUCAUGUGGAAAAAACCAAAAACCAAAAACAAUUUACUAUUUUUUUAAUUGUUUUGUUUGAAUAUAUUUGUUUUUAUGUUUCAAGAGUAUUUUAAAAAAAAUUAAUUUUUUUUUCUUGCUUGAAAUUGGUUUUUUCUUUGUACUUUUAGAUUAUUUUAAUGUACCAAUAUCAAAAAUAAUUGUUUUUAAAUUAAAAAUAUUAUUGUAAUAUAUUUUUAAAUAUAAAAAAUAUUUUAACAAAUAAUCUCUACCACACUAUUAAAUAUCAUGGAAUUGUGCGUGCCCCAUACUUUUGGGCAAAGACUUUUCAAGUCUUCAUUGUGUUUAAGAAGAUGUCAUGUGGAAAAAACCAAAAACAAUUUAUUAUUUUUUUAAUUGUUUUAUUUGAAUAUAUUUGUUUUUAUGUUUUAAGAGUAUUUAAAAAAAAAUUAAUUUUUUUUCUUUGCUUGAAAUUGGUUUUUUCUUUGUGCUUUUAGAUUAUUUUAAUGUACCAAUAUCAAAAAUAAUUUUUUAAAAAAAUAAAAAAAUUAUUUAAAUAUAUUUCUAAAUAAAUUUUUUUUUUAACAAAUAAUCUCUACCACACUAUUAAAUAUCAUAGAAUUGUGCGUGCCCCAUACUUUUGGGCAAAGACUUUUCAAGUCUUCAAUGUGUUUAAGAAGAUGUCAUCUGGAAAAAACCAAAAACCAUUUACUAUUUUUUUAAUAUGAUAUUUUUGUUUUUGUGUUUUAAAAAUAUUUGAAAAAAAAUUAAAAAUUUUUUUUGCUUUAAAUUAUUUUUUUUAUCUUUAUGCUUUUUGACCAUUUUAAUGUACUAAUAUCAAAAAUAAUUUUUUAAAAUUUAAAAAAUAUUAUUUUAAUAUUUUUCUAUUAAAAAAAUAUUUUAACAAAUAAUCUCUACUACAAUGUUAAAUAUCAUGGAAUUGUGGGUGCCCCAUACUUUUGGGCAAAUAUUUUUCAAGUCUUCAAUGUGUUUAAGAUGAUGUCAUGUGGAAGAAACCAAAAACCAUUUACUAUUUUUUUAAUUUUUUAUUUGGAUAUAUUUGUUUUUGUGUUUUAAAAGUAUUUUAAAAAAAAUUUCCUUGCUUUGAAUUAUUUGUUUUCUUUGUGCUUUUAGAUUAAUUUUUACCAUCUUGGAAUGUAUUGUACAUGCCCCAUACUUUUAGACAAAGAUUUUUCAAGUCAUAUGUACGUUGAAGAAGAUGCCAUGUGAAAUAAAUAAUUUCAACUAUUUACUGUUUUUUCUAAAUUUCUUUUUUAUUUAAAUAUAUUUGUUUUUGUGUUACUUGUGUGUGCCCCUUGCUUCUGGAAAAAGACUUCCAAGUCAUAUUAUGUUUUAAGAAAAUAUCUUCUGAAAGGAAAUUAUUAAGAGCUUCAAGUCUUCGUCAAAGUUAUCAAUACCCCACACGUUUUCCCAUUCCUUCAUUUGAUAGACAUUCUCUCCCGCAUCAACUUAUGGUCUGGGGAGAGACAUUAUAGCAAGUUCAAAAUUGUUUUUUUAUUUUUGUUUAAUUUAAAAAUAUAAUUUAAUUUAUAAUAUUUUAAUUUUUUCUAUUUAAUUAGUUUAUAAAUUAUAAAUAAUUUGGUCCAACCCUAUGAUAGAGCACGGGAUACACGUCUACUAACCUUGUAGGCAAAAACCAUCUACUAUUUCUCUAAAAUUUCUUUGGACAUUUACUAUAAUGGGUGCCCAUUACUAUUUAGCAAAGACUUUUCAAGUUAUUAAUAUGUUUAAGAAAAUACCUCGUGGAAAAAUUUAUUUCAAUGGUUCAGAUACCUUAUUUAUCUUAUUAUGAUCUUCCAUUUCACUAGGAAGAGCACUAUAAACAGGCAAUAUGAUCAAUUCAGGAACAUUUUUUCAUAAUCCUUUCAUCCUCUCACAAAGAGACUGACAUGCAAAAUCAAUCUCCUCCUGCCCUGUCAAUAAUAGAAGUAUGUCACCUUCAAGUUCUGUCAAGUGGAUUUGCAAGAUAGUAAUCAGAGAUACAUCUAAGUAGUCACUUUUUGGCUGUUUAGUCAAUUUGUCUCAGCUUCCUAGUCAUUUCCACUGACUUCUAUGAAGUGCAUAAAUUCCUGCAUGUAAAUUCAGAGCUUCAAGUCUUGCUCAGUGCACAUGGGCUGGGCUCGACCCAGCCCAGCCCAGCCGGUCACUGGCCCAAGCCAGUGACCAGGCUGGGCUGAGCAACACGCGUGCGCUAACGCACGCGUGUUGCUUCAGUGUGCAAGUGAAUUAAAAUUCACUUGCAUACAGCCAAUGCUAAUUAAAUUCAGAAAUGACGAGAAGCAAAGGUUUGCUUACCUGGUGCUGGAGACCGAAGACGCUUGCAGUGCUGAUGGAUCCUCGCCUAUGGUUUCCCUUUAUCUUCCUUCUGUGCUCACUUUGUCAGCGUUUCCUCUUCGUUUCUCUCAGCAACUUUUGAAACCAAGAAGAUGAUGGAGAGGCUGGCUUGCUGUGAAUUGGUUGUUGAUUCUAGGUUUUUCUGCAGGGACAAAAACAAAUGGCAAAAACCGAUACCCCCCUCUGUGUUGCUCCUUGCUUUUUAUUCUUUUUCGGUUUUUCUUUGUUUUGUUUUGGUCCGUGCUCUCUAUUUUUGUUCCUCUGUUUCUCUGUUUCCCCUGGUUCUGUUUCUUCCUCCCCGUUUCCCUGGUUUUUUUUCGAGUCUGGGUUUUAGCUUCUCCUUCUCUUUCGGUUCUGCUCCCCCGGUUUUGUGAUUCCUCCUUUGGUUUUUUUAGCAGUUUUUCCUCCGGUCUCUCCCUGGUUUUUUGUGUCUGGGUUUAGCUUCCCCUAGGUAUUUUUUCUGCCCUCGAUUUCUUCGUUGUUCCUCUGUUUUAUAGAGUCUGAUCGGUGGUAACGGACGGCAUGUAGAGGGACGGCAACAUUAAAACGUCCAUAACUGAGGUGAGCGGAUGAUUACUGCCUAUAACUGCUGGAAACGGUCUCGGGUUAAAGAAGAAGAAGAUGAACAGUGCUAUUUCAAAACGACACCGUUUUGAAGAUAACAGUGGCCAUUUUCACUUUGACUCGCAAAGUUUCGAAACUUUUAUAAUUAAGCCCCUGAUUUAAACUGUAAUUGGCCCCCUGCAUUUGCAUGCCAUUUUCAAUGUAGCCCUUGGAUUUUAAUUUUGCAAUUUUGACCCCAAACUUUCAUAUUUCUUCAAUUAAUUCCCUGCUUUAAUUAAUUUAAUUAAAUCCAAGUCCAAUUAAGCCUCAAAACUUAUCGAUUCUCCAAUUAAACCCUUAAUUGGAUCAAUUAAAUUACUUUCAAGCUUAAUUAAGUCUCAAAACUUAUCAAUUCUCCAAUUAAAUCCUUAAUUGGAUAAAUUAAAUUAAUUCCAAGCUUAAUUAAGUCUCAAAACUUAUCAAUUCUCCAAUUAGAUCUUUAAUUGGAUUAAUUAAAUUAAUUUCAAGCUUAAUUAGAUUAAUUCCAAAGUUUAAUUAAACCCCAAAACUUCCAAUCAUUCUGUCAUCAACCCAAAUUUUAAUUCAUUCUUCAUUUAUUUCAUUUUACUUAUUUUUCAUCAUCAUUUUUUUUUUAUCAUUUUCAGUAAAUAAAAUAAUAAUAAUUAAAAUAAAAUGAUCAAAAAUUUGGUUAUGACAUGUCUUAUGUAAAGCAGAAAGUUCCUCAUCCAUAGCUUGCUGCCAAAACGGAUUAAGAAUUGCCUCUUUAUAGGAAGAUGGCCCAAAGUGACAAUGAAUAGAAGCUAAAAAAGAAGUAAAUGAUGAAGAAUAACAAGAAUAAGCAAAAUGUGGUAGUUUUGUGGACUUAUGAAUGUGAAUGGACUAAAGUGGAGGUGGAUCCACAAUCUCAGAUGAAGCUUGAGGGGCAGUAGAUGAGAAUGGAGCUUCAGGUGUGCUAGAGAGUAAAGUACGAGUACCUAUAGAGUUAUGAGUACAAAUUAAUGGAACAUGUGGAGAGGUAUCAUUAUCAGAAUCCUUAAAAAAGGGAUCUAUACAAAUAAGAUUAGAUUUAGUUAGGCUACAAGUAGUGGAUGGAAUAAAAAAGAAAUGUAUAUGCUCAAGGAAGACAACAUGACAAGACACAUAUAUUUUCUGAGUUAUUGGAUCAAAACAACGAUACCCCUUUUUACCUUCACUAUAACCCAGAAAGACACAAAUAGUGGAUUGAGAGGAUAGCUUAUUGCGUUCUACAUGAGGAUGAAGAACGAAACAAGUACAACCAAAGACUCUAAAUGAGGAAUAAUCAAGGACAUACCCAUAUAACUUUUCAAAAGGAGAUGGACCCGAACUAUGAGAAGAUGAAAUUGUAUUAAUCAAACUUACAUUAGUAAGAACAUCUUCUCCCCAAAACUUACUAGGAACAAAAGCAGACAACAAAAGAGAACAAGUAGUUUUGACAACACCAUUUUGCUUAGGAGUAUCUAUACAUGAAGUUUGGUGGAUGGUUCCAUCUAAGGCAAGCAAUUGGCAAAAUUUAUUAGAGGUGUAUUCCCCACCUAAAUCACACCUAAAGCAUUUGAUCACAACACAAUGUUGAGUUUUGAUAAGAGCUUGAAAAGCUGCAAAUAUCUCAAAGAAUUCAGAAUGAUGUUUCAUUAAAUAAACCCAACAAUAACGAGUAUGAUCAUCAAUAAAAUAGACAUAAUAUCAAGACAUUUCUUUUGUGGCAACAGGACAAGGUCCCCACACAUAAGAAUGAAUCAAAUCAAAUAGUGAAAAAGAAACAGAAAUACUUCGAUUAAAAGGUAAAGCGAAAAAUUUUGCUAGUUUACAUCCACUACAAUCAGAAAUGUCACAAGUUUUCAAAUUUUUUAAAGCUCCUAUGGAUGCCAAAAAUCUCAAACGAGAAGACGAAACAUGACCUAGAUGGGAAUGCCAUAAAUAAAAACUAGAAGAUGAAAGACUCAAACGAAAGGAAGACAAAUCAAUAGUAUUAGUAGCAGUAGCGGCAGCAGCAACUGACAUUUUUAACUCAUCCAAAAUAUAUAGUCCAUUCUCCUUACGACUUGUCCCAAUCAGCUUCUGAGACUGCAUUUCAAGCGGGAACUUUUUUUUUGGCGUUCAAUUUCUAUCUGUAAAACCAUCAGUAAUUUUUUUUUUACCGAUCGUGUUAGCGACAGAAUUAGGUAUUACCGAUGAAAGGAAAGCCGACAUACUGUUUUCGUCGGUAAUUUUAUUACCAAUGAACUAUGAAUCACAUACCGACGAAAUAUAUCUAUUGGUAAAACUGUGAAAUCUUGUAGUGAGAGAAUAAGAUUAUGAAUUGUAUUAUUUUGAAAAAGAAUAAGAUUAUGAAUUUAGAAUUCAUAUUCACAACAUCUUUCGCUCAUUAAAUUAUAUGUUAUAUGUGUGUUUAUUGUGAAUAGCCUCCACCUACAUCAAGUCCUGACAGCUUUUUUUUAUAAUAAUUGAGAGAUUUUAAUAUUUUAUUGAUAUAGCUAGAUUACCAUUGAAAGCUAGCUAUUGAAAACUAAAGUGAAGGGGUACAAAGGUGAUUCAAAGAAGAAAAGAAUAGAGUAAAAUCCAAAACUUAUACAUAAACCAUUACUUAGCAACUGAAAUGUGAACAAAAUAUUAAUUUUUGAGCUAAAAUGUAAAAACCAUAAAAAAGGAUAAAAGUUGCAAAAAAAAAAAACUUGAGGGACCAAAAUACUUCAAAACACGCCUAAGCUACAAUGAAAAAAAGAAAAAGGAAAGGAGGCCACCUUCAAUACCGUAUCAAAUGGCAUGAUUUUCCACGUACAGUAGUCUCUGAAAUUUUAUUUACUCUAGUGAUUAUAUCUAUAGGCUUGAAUUAACAUCAAUUUCAAUACCGGCUUGCUUGAUUUAAUGCCAAUAGUCUUCAAUAUAAAAAGAAAGGAAAAGAAAUGUGAAUAACCAUAUUACCUUGCAAUCCUUCUAAGCGAGAACGUGCUCUUGCAGCCUCUGAAAUUCUCGUUGAAUUCGUGCCUUGCGCACUGCUACCUUCACAUGAACGGGUUUUUUUGCUUCAUAUGAACGGGUUCGGACUCAGGAUUGUUGGGGUUCUAACAGAAACUAGUAUCAGGUUUCGAACACAGCAGAAUCCAUUUAACUAAAUCUGGCUUACCACAUGAAUCGUGGCAGCAUUUGAGUACUCUUAAAAUAAAUAAAUAAAUAAAUAAUUUAAUCAAUUCUUAAAUAACCAAGUAUUCUAAUUUGAAUAUCUGAAAUCAACAUAUAUUUUAGUUUUCUUAGUUUCUUUUAAUUAUUAAGUAUCAACUCUAAUUUUUCACAAUAUAUUUUUUUUCUCGGCUGACAUCCACCGAGAUGCAACAGUAACUAUUGGUAGUUACUCUUAAAAUAAUAAAAUAAAUAAAUAAUUUAAUCAAUUCUUAAAUAAUUAGUCGAGUCUCCACUAUGCCUAUUCGUUUCUAGUUGUGUAUAUUAUAUCUUGCAUAAUAUCCAAUUGUUCAAUGUAUCAUUCUAUCAAGUUUUCUAAUCAAACUGAUAUAAUUAUCUAUAUUGAAAACAAAACCAAGUCACGAGGGACGUUUUUAGGGUUACCAUGUAUAUGUGUGUGCAAAGACACGUGCACACACACACACACACACACACACACAUAUAUAUAUAUAUAUAUAUAUAUAUAUAUAUAUAUAUAUAUAUACAUGUUUUUAAUUUAUUCUUAGGAGAAAUAAAUUUAUGAAUUGUACCAAAAUAUUUGUUAUUAAUAUAAAUUUUAAUGUUUAAAAAACAAUCCUGAGGCCCUAUCUAUUCUUUACUGCAAGAUGAGUAAAAAACAUUUCAAUUGAACUUUUUUCAUGAAACAAAACCAUAACAUUUCACACCAAAAGCAAUGUUUUUGAUCAUCCAAAGCGGCCAACUAACAAAUAUUUAUGUUUUAUUUUUCAACAACUUUCUCUAAAAACUGAAAUGUAAAUAAAAAUAAUAAUUUUUUGAAGUAAAAUGUAAAAGCCUGGGCAAAAAUGGAUAAAAGUUGCAAAAAUUAGAACUUGAGGGCCAAAAUACUUCAAACCACACCUUACCUACAAUGGAAAAAAAAAACAGAGACUGGAUUUUUGUUUUAGAGUCAAUUUUGGUAUCCAUCAACUUAAUUUUAGAAUUUUCUUUCUUUGACAUUAUCAUAAACUCAUACAAAUUAAGUUAAGCAAAAUAAAUUAUUAAAUCAAAUCCCAAAAAAACUCGAUAUGAAAAAGAUGAAAAUGAAAAACAAAUUAAGUGACUGACUAGAACAAAGAAGAAAGCAAUAUGUGAACGCACCAUUGUUCUUCUCACAGUGUACCUUUUGAACUAAUCUUCGAAGAAAUUUCUCUGAAAUUUUAUUUCCUCCGGUGAUUAUAUGUAUAGGCUUGAAUUAACAUCAAUUUCAAUACCUGCUUGCUUGAUUUAAUGCCAAUAAUUCAACAAAAGCAGAUAAAUGAAAAUGUAAAUUACAUGUGUUUUUAAUCAAAUUCUGUAGCACAAUAAGCAAGUACUGGCAUAAAACCAGCAGCUGUACAAAGAGUUCUCCAGUGGAACCUUAUUUCUGUUAGUUAAUGAAUUUUCUGUAGAGCUUUUAAUUACAGAACAAAGAAUAGAGAACAAAGAGCAGAAACACACGGGGGUGAGGUUACUGCCAUCCCUCUAGUUUUAUUUAUAGAAGAAAUCAAACACUACAGAAGACGAGAAUAUAUAUAUAACUAACUCGACUUAUCCAAGAUAAGUUUAAAUUCUACAGAUUCAAACAAGAUUAAGAUAAAUAAUUUGAAAAGAAACGUUGCAGAAUAAACUCCAGCUUUGGUGCCACCACUUCAACAACCUCAACAAUUUCAAACUAGUAGCAGUAGACGAUGAUGAAGUUGCCAAGGUAAAGGACGAUGUAGCUCCAGCAAACAAUACGAACUCAUUGGACAAAGAGGACCUGUUAUGCACCCAGCUGCACCUCCUGGUAUAAAAUGGAGGGGGGGAACCAGAAAGCGCGAAAACGAACCAUUAGUCUUCAAUAUAAAAAGAAAGGAAAAGAUAUGUGAAUAACCAUAUUACCUUGCAAUCCUUCUAAGCAACAACGUGCUCUCGCAGCCUCUGAAAUUCUCGUUGAAUUCGUGCCUUGCGCAGUGCUACCUUCACAUAGAGCCAGUCCCAUGAUUCAUCCAAGAACCGGAAAUAGGCAUGUCUCCAGGAACGUUUUAGCAGUAAAGCACUUGAAACUCCCCAAAAGAAUACACUAAAACCAAUUCCCAUAGCAGUACAAAACCAUUUCAUGAAUUCAUCAGCGACGACAUCUUUGCUUCGGUUGUCAUCAUUAGCAGGUGGACUUUGAUUCGUCUCAUCUCCAGGGCAUUUCUGUAAGAGUGGCUGCCCGCACAAUGCAAGGUUACCGGUAAAUUGUGAAGCAUCAAAGCCUUGCAGCUGAGUGCUUGACGGAAUCCUCCCCGACAAGUGAUUGUUGGAGAGGUUCAGGUAAGAUAGAAAAGUUAGAUCAGCCAUUGUGAUAGGAAUCACUCCUGAUAAUUGGUUUCCUGACAAAUCAAGUGAUUCCAACUGUUUCAACUGCCCAAUCUUUUGAGGGAUUUCUCCACUCAAAUUAUUUCUGGAUAAAUUCAGUGCAACCAACAGUAAGAGUCCUGUUAUUUCUUCUGGAAUUUCCCCUUGUAAUUUAUUUCCUGAAAAAUCAAUGAUCCUCAAAAGUCCUAGUGUGCUUCGAUAAACAUCCGCUCUUCCUUUCCAUCCAACCCUGAUCUCAUUCAUAUAUUCAACACAGCUUCCUCGUUCCCUCGCGUAAUUCUCAGACUUGGAAAGGAUCUCGUAAGGGAUGGUAAGGUAAGUUGUACUGAAAACAGCAAUAUUUGCAGGGGAAUAUCCUGACUCUGUUUUUUGAACCAUGGAAGUGAGGUUAUUAAGGCACUUUGGAAUGAUUCCUGAGAUAUUGUUUAGAGAUAGGUCCAAGAUCUGAAUAUUUGAUAGGUGACAAAGAUUUGGCGGUAUGCUUCCACUGAAUCCAUUAGAUUGUAGGGAAAGGAUUUUCAGGGAUGGCAUGCUUUCUCCUAUCCAACCUGGUAUUUCUCCUCGCAACUUAUUUGAGCUCAGGUCUAAAAAUACUAGAGAACUACAAUUCCUCAAAGACAAAGGUAAUUCUCCAACAAAGCUAUUAUUAUGCAAACUCAAUGUUUCAAGAUUGAGCAUUGAUCCAAUGGAGCUGGGAAUUUUACCUGAAAAGUUGUUGCUGGCCAAAUUCAG